rnacentral:rRNA from 1 species
CGGCAGCACGGGGUACUUGUACCUGGUGGCGAGCGGCGGACGGGUGAGUAAUGCCUAGGAAUCUGCCUAGUAGUGGGGGAUAACGUCCGGAAACGGGCGCUAAUACCGCAUACGUCCUACGGGAGAAAGUGGGGGAUCUUCGGACCUCACGCUAUUAGAUGAGCCUAGGUCGGAUUAGCUAGUUGGUGAGGUAAUGGCUCACCAAGGCGACGAUCCGUAACUGGUCUGAGAGGAUGAUCAGUCACACUGGAACUGAGACACGGUCCAGACUC